CUACGGCCAUAUCAUAUUGAAAUACCGGUUUCUCGUCUGAUCACAGAAGUUAAGCAACAACGAAUCUAGUCAGUACUUUGAUGGGUGACCGUUUGGUGAUACCAGUUGCUGUAAG